ensembl:lncRNA
AAAUUUAUUAAAAAGAAUAUAGAGAACAGAAACCACAAAUCAUAACUUGGAAAUAAAGUUCUGGAUAAUAGUAACAACCUUCAAAUAUAGAAAAUGUAAAUCCAAUGUUAGUACAUUUUUAAUAACAAUCCAUUUAUGAUGGAUUGAACCCAACCAGUAUUAAUCAAAACAUUAAUACAAUUGUAAUUAAAACAUAAACAAUUAUUCUGUUCGAAUCAAAAGUACCAAAAUAUUAAGUAUUCAAAUAUUAAAAUAUCAAAGUAUCAGAGUAUCAAAGUAUCUGAAUUUCAAGGUAUCUGAAUUUGAAUAAAAACCUGUAAGAGUUCUAAGUCUGAGUCUAAGAGUUGUCGAGUGAAGCCAAAGAAGAGGAAGUGAGCUGAAAAGAUAGAGAGACCAGAGUCUCAGAAAGUCAAACCCUAUUCUAUUUUGCAGAGUCUAUCUUAUAUACGUCUCGGUUACGUAUGGUAACCCUCACGUUCCCUUUCAGUCGGUCACUCUCGACGCCACGUCGGUGACUGACGAAAAUGGGAUCCCUACCAAAGCGCCAUGGGUGCUGCCCCUUCCAGUGCCCUGUGCGAGCCGCCUGCGCCCCUAUUAGGUGUAGGCCGGGGCUCGGAACAAGUAGCUCCACUCACCAUUGUCAAAGCACUACCUCACUGGGUGAGACUGGAUAACACUGGGAAAACGUACCCGUUCCACUUGGAACAGGGACGCUGUGGAGGCUCCAUCCUUCCCGAAGGAGGUCUCGGGAGCAAAUACACAUAUAGCAUCCGUUUAGGUGUAUAUGGAAAAAUUUGAGGUGAUUCAAACCCUCCUGGAAAGGCAGAAGUCUGCCGGGGAAACACGGGCUCUAAGGCUAUACCGUGGACUAUACACAUACGAGUACCGCUUAGGUCUCAAUAUGGAACCCAGCCUUCCAUGGUUCUCACGGAUUCAUCAUGAAGGCCUGGCGCCGGACGUUCCGCCGCGUCCAGCUGCCUAGGGUGAUGGAGGAUCUCAACAGGGUCUACAGUACGGACACUCUGGAGCAGUUUUAGCAAGCCGACACUAACCGGGGCCUCUCGGUGCCACUACCCGUUUGAGGUGAGAACACAGGAGGAUACCGGCUCUACACGAAGGCUAUAGAACCUAGCGAACGUGUUAGGGGUCGCCCAGCCCACAGCUCUACAAAUAUCUGUCAGCGAGGUGCCACGAGCCAGCGCCCAGGAGGAUGCAACACUUCUUGUUGAGUGAGCUCACAACCUGAACGGGCAGGGCACACCCUGUGCCUGAUAAGCCAGGGCUAUGGCAUCCACAAUCCAGCGGGCCAUCCUCUGCUUAGAGACGGCAUUCCCCUUCUGCUGGCCUCCGUAACAGACAAAGAGCUGGUCUGAGGUCCUGAAGCUUUGUGUCCGGUCUACGUAGCAUCUCAAUGCUCGGACGGGACAGAGCAAAGCUAGGGCUGGGUCUGCCUCCUCCAGGGGCAGCACUUGCAGGUCCACCACUUGGUCUUUGAAGGGUGUAGUGGGAACCUUGGGCACGUAGCCGGGCCGGGGCCUCAGGAUUACCUGGGAGUCAGCCGGCCCAAACUCUAGGCACGAAUCGUCGACCGAAAAUGCAUGCAGGUCCCCUACCCUCUUGAUAGAGGCCAGUGCAAGCAGGAGCAGAGUUUUCAAUGAAAGAAACUUUGGCUCGACUGAAUGCAAAGGCUCGAAUGGGCCCUGCUGUAGUGAUUUCAGUACCAGAGUCAGGUCCCAAGAGGGUAUGGAGGGGGGCCGGGAAGGAUUUAACCUCCCGGCCCCUCUAAGGAACCUGAUGACGAGGUCAUGCUUACCUAAAGACUUCCCAUUCACGGGGUCAUGGUACGCAGCAAUAGCGGCAACCUGGACUUUGAGGGUGGAGGGAGA